rnacentral:tRNA from 1 species
GUUCUUGUAGUUGAAUAACAAC